GUUGUCUCUCGCACUCACUUACUCUUCCUUCUUUCGCCACUGUGCCAGACAAAUUUAAAUGUAUCUGUUCAAGUGGAGAUAAUCCAUGCAAAUCAGAGCCACUGCUCCCAAGUGCUCGAUUCACAAAGAGAACUCUGCUUGAGGAGGUCACUCGUUCACAGCUGCUCCUCCCAUUAUAUUUCUCCCCCUUAUAGCAGAACUGCUGCUUGUAUACACUGACUGAAAGGACUCAAUUUACUGCAACUGCUGCCUGGUUUUACUUACAACUUUCUUUAAAGCGGGACAUACCUUCCAGCUAUCUUGCAAAGAAAGAUAUUGAAAGAUUCCUUUUAAGAAGUAAUAUUUUCCUGUGACGAGGUAAAGAAAAAAUGGGCAAGAAAAGAAAAUGCACUUGAUUACUUACAUCAUAAAAAAACAAGCUUCAGUCCAGAACACUAAAGUUCAUGAAGAUGCACGGGAGACUUUCUGGUUUGAAUGGAAUGGUGGCUCAAAUAACAUGGGGGAUUAAAGAUGAUUCCUUUGGAGCUCAGCAAUAAAGUGAGAUGUAAGUCUUUAAAGACAUCUUCUCAUAUGGUGUGGAAAAGUAUGGUUUUAAAGUUAUGCCUCCAUAGCAGCAGGCCUAGAAGCGACAGUAAUCAAGUCUGGAGCCCACCUCCAGUCUCAUAUGGCUCUUGAACUUGACAUCACUGAGGAGAUCCUCAGGGGUACCCCAGUGACCUAAUCUCAAAUUUCAGCUUUUUGCCAAAAAUUGUUGAGCCACUAGGCAACAAACAGCUGGGCUACUAAAACACCUCAUGUUUAUUUCUGGUGAGUGUACACUAUUAUCUCCUCUUUUCUCAUGGUAAAUGUUCCUUGUUAGGUUUUCUUACCUGGUCACUUUGCUUGGGAACCAGCAGAGCCCAAAGGAAAAGUACCUCCUUAUCUGGACUGAUACUUAAAAAUAUGGAAUAUGGGUAGAAGUUCGACUUUGGUCCAGAAAGGCUUGCUCUGGAAGCAACACAAAUGAGCAAAGUCACUCUUCGAAGUUGUCUUCUGUGUACUAUACUGUACACAGUGUAUAGUGUACACUAUAAUCC
rnacentral:lncRNA from 1 species